rnacentral:misc_RNA from 1 species
UCCAGCUUAUCGCCGGCAGUCUCCUGAGAGUGCACCUUUCGGUUAGCAACACAGGACAAGGGUUGCGCUCGUUGCGGGACUUAACCCAACAUCUCACGACACGAGCUGACGACGGCCAUGCACCACCUGUGCAGGCUCCGAAGAGCACCCGCUUUCACGGGUUUCACCCUGCAUGUCAAGCCUAGGUAAGGUUCUUCGCGUUGCGUCGAAUUGAACCACAUGCUCCGCUGCUUGUGCGGGCCCCCGUCAAUUCCUUUGAGUUUUAAUCUUGCGACCGUACUCCCCAGGCGGGGCACUUAAUGCGUUAGCUGCGGCACCCAGGGGGUCAAUACCCCGGACACCUAGUGCCCAUCGUUUACAGCGUGGACUAC